ensembl:lncRNA
GGACAUUUCUACAGAAUGUUUAGUGAGUGUUGAGAAGCCGCGCUAAAGAGGCGUCAUCCUUACCUUUUCUUUUGAUCUGUCCACUAUAGCGUUGUGGCUCUGAGCAGCGUCUUUGACCAGAUGACUUCGCUGAGACAGCAGGAGCUCGCCCCAGUCCUGUUGGGCUACCUGAAGCAGAGACACGCCUCGGGCUCACCUUGUGGGUCCGACACAAGCAGCCUCAGUGCUUGGCUGGAGGAGAGCUUUGGCAAAUUCUCCAUCUAUGUGGAUUACAACGACCUGCGUGAGAUCAAUGCAGGCUUUGGCAGCGUAAGCGGACCCGCCGUGAUACCCAUUUGUUUCCCGUGACUGUUUUGGCCAACCAUGUUACCGUCUAAUGAUUUUGUUGUUUUCUCCCCUGAAGUUUGAGGCGCUGGACAUUCUGAGCUCUUCUCAGGUCGCUCAACUGACGCUAGAGUCUGGAGCGCUGAACAGCGCGUCUCUGAUAAACAUGGUCUUUGAACGGCUAGAGCACGGCAACUCUUUCCAGAAUGUGGAAGAGUUCUUCGUGGCCCUCCACCAGACCUCACAGGUACGUCCUCGUGACUAAGAUGGCAAGCCAUAUUUUGGGCCUGAGUUGGCCCAUUUUUAAAGUGCAUUCGUGACACAAUUUCCAGUUGUGACGUUCGCUUUCUGUGUGUCAUUCCCUCCAGGAUUUGGACAUCAGUCCUGUGGUGAGGGACAUCAUGAUGAAUCGAACCUUCACUAUCAUCAGUCUUCAUUUUGCCGAAUUUGUGACCGCGACUGGGCUUCCUGGUUCACGGUGAAACUGACGCCUCUCCUUCCCCAGCUGGACUGCAGAGAUGCUCCAGACAGCGACCGUCACACACCGACUGCAACGGAUACCACAUCAUGUACGUAGCGCUCCCCUAGCUUUGUGACCGCUCUGUAACGCGCCCUCUAGUUACACUGUCAAAAAGACUGUGAGGUCGUUUCUCAAGUAGUCUCUAAAGGGUGGUGAAGAUCUACGCUAAUGAGGCAUCGUCCUUACCUUUUGUUGUGAUCUUUGCACUCUAGGGUUGUGGCUCUGAGCAGCGUCUUUGACCAGAUGACUUUGCUGAGACGGCAGGAGCUGGCCCCAGUCCUGUUGGGCUACCUGAAGCAGAGACACGCCUCGGGUAGGUCCAGUGAAGGUGGUGCUUUUUUGUGUCGUGUGCCUAAGAGAAAAGGCCUGUGGUGCCCUGGCUUUAUGAAUGUCUGCGUCUCCUAAUGAGUGUUUCCCGUGCAUCAUCGUUGCAGGCUCACCUUGUGGGUCCGACACAAGCAGCCUCAGUGCUUGGCUGGAGGAGAGCUUUGGCAAAUUCUCCAUCUAUGUGGAUUACAACGACCUGCGUGAGAUCAAUGCAGGCUUUGGCAGCGUAAGCGGACCGCCGUGAUACCCAUUUGUUUCCCCGUGACUGUUUUGGCCAACCAUGUUACGUCUAAUGAUUUUGUUGUUUUCUCCCCUGAAGUUUGAGGCGCUGGACAUUCUGAGCUCUUCUCAGGUCGCUCAACUGACGCUAGAGUCUGGAGCGCUGAACAGCGCGUCUCUGAUAAACAUGGUCUUUGAACGGCUAGAGCACGGCAACUCUUUCCAGAAUGUGGAAGAGUUCUUCGUGGCCCUCCACCAGACCUCACAGGUACGUCCUCGUGACUAAGAUGGCAAGCCAUAUUUUGGGCCUGAGUUGGCCAUUUUAAAGUGCAUUCGUGACACAAUUUCAGUUGUGACGUUCGCUUUCUGUGUGUCAUUUCCCUCCAGGAUUUGGACAUCAGUCCUGUGGUGAGGGACAUCAUGAUGAAUCGAACCUUCACUAUCAUCAGUCUUCAUUUUGCCGAAUUUGUGACCGCGACUGGGCUUCCUGGUUCACGGUGAAACUGACGCCUCUCCUUCCCCAGCUGGACUGCAGAGAUGCUCCAGACAGCGACCGUCACACACCGACUGCAACGGAUACCACAUCAUGUACGUAGCGCUCCCCUAGCUUUGUGACCGCUCUGUAACGCCCCCUCUAGUUACACUGUCAAAAAAAGACUGUGAGGUCGUUUCUCAAGUAGUCUCUAAAGGGUGGUGAAGAUCUACGUUAAUGAGGCAUCGUCCUUACCUUUUUGUUGUGAUCUUUGCACUCUAGGGUUGUGGCUCUGAGCAGCGUCUUUGACCAGAUGACUUUGCUGAGACGGCAGGAGCUGGCCCCAGUCCUGUUGGGCUACCUGAAGCAGAGACACGCCUCGGGUAGGUCCAGUGAAGGUGGUGCUUUUUUGUGUCGUGUGCCUAAGAGAAAAGGCCU